AUAGAUUUUCUUAUGUAACCAACACAAGACAACUGUAUAUACCAAUUAAGAUGUAAUGCAUACUCAGUGAUAAAGGCAGUUGGUUAUUAAACGAAACAUUCAUUUAACUGUGUGUGUGUGUGUGUGUGUGUGUGGGGUUUAAAAAGCGCAUAUGCUUUAUACAAUAAGUUCUCUCUACUUGCAGAGAUGCCAUGAGAUUGGGUAAUAGCAAACCUUGGCCAGAUGUCAUGGAAGCAAUCACUGGGCAGCGGAAAAUGUCAGCUCAUGCCCUUCUUGAAUAUUUUAAGCCUCUUAUCGACUGGCUGGAUGAGCAAAAUAGUAAAAACGGAGAAACUAUUGGCUGGCCAGAGUACAAUUGGACUCCAGUUCCAUCGGUUUCCGUUGAGCCACUUCCACCACCAAGCACUGUAGACUUCCUGGGAAUGUCAUUGAACAAAGGGCAAGCAUCAGCAGGAGCAUGGGUCCUCUUGGCAAUUGGAAUAGUCCUGGUCAUAACUACCAUCUUCUUGGGUGUCAAGUACUCAAAAACAAGACGUAGAGCAAAUAAGUCCUCCUCUGAACUGGAGCUAAAAUAAGAUGGAUCGCAUCCAACUAGCAGAGUGCCAUCUGCGGGAAAAAGUCCUUCGCCAGCAUUCCAAAAAAUGGGGACACUCCGUGUAUGAGUUGCAUCAGGGGAAAUCUUGUUGACUAUGCAAAGAACUUCAUCCUUGGAGGAGCAAUCCACCAGCGCCUUCAAAACCAAAUUUUAAAGGCUGUACUUUUACAGAGGUGCUGAUGGGAAGGGAGGUUUGGGGUAACUGGGUAAAAAUAAAUUUGAUAAUCGAUUUGUGAUCAUGUCAGGGUUUUUUUCUUCAAUGGGAGCAAUAAAAUUAUUGUAUGUGGAAACUUUA